rnacentral:rRNA from 1 species
GAUGAACGCUGGCGGCGUGCCUAAUACAUGCAAGUCGAGCGAACAGACGAGGAGCUUGCUCCUCUGACGUUAGCGGCGGACGGGUGAGUAACACGUGGAUAACCUACCUAUAAGACUGGGAUAACUUCGGGAAACCGGAGCUAAUACCGGAUAACAUGUUGAACCGCAUGGUUCAACAGUGAAAGACGGUCUUGCUGUCACUUAUAGAUGGAUCCGCGCCGCAUUAGCUAGUUGGUAAGGUAACGGCUUACCAAGGCAACGAUGCGUAGCCGACCUGAGAGGGUGAUCGGCCACACGGGAACUGAGACACGGUCCAGACUCCUACGGGAGGCAGCAGUAGGGAAUCUUCCGCAAUGGACGAAAGCCUGACGGAGCAACGCCGCGUGAGUGAUGAAGGUCUUCGGAUCGUAAAACUCUGUUAUUAGGGAAGAACAAAUGUGUAAGUAACUAUGCACGUCUUGACGGUACCUAAUCAGAAAGCCACGGCUAACUACGUG